rnacentral:rRNA from 1 species
GACGUAGGGCGCGAGCGUUGUCCGGAUUUAUUGGGCGUAAAGAGCUCGUAGGCGGCUUGUCGCGUCGUCCGUGAAAACCAGGGGCUCAACCCCUGGCUUGCGGUCGAUACGGGCAGGCUAGAGUUCGGUAGGGGAGACUGGAAUUCCUGGUGUAGCGGUGAAAUGCGCAGAUAUCAGGAGGAACACCGGUGGCGAAGGCGGGUCUCUGGGCCGAUACUGACGCUGAGGAGCGAAAGCGUGGGGAGCGAACAGG